rnacentral:misc_RNA from 1 species
GAUGAAGAACGCCAGCGAAAUGCGAUAAGUAAUGUGAAUUGCAGAAUUCAGUGAAUCAUCGAAUCUUUGAACGCACAUUGCGCCCGCCAGCACUCUGGCGGGCAUGCCUGUUCGAGCGUCAUUUCAACCAUCAAGCCCCCAGGGGCUUGUGCUGGGGCCCUGCGGCUGCCCGCAGGCCCUGAAAACCAGUGGCGGGCUCGCUAGUCACACCGAGCGCAGUAGCACAUCUCGCUCAGGGCGUGCGGCGGGCUCCUGCCGUGAAACCCCCCACUGUAACCCCAAAGGUUGACCUCGGAUCAGGUAGGAAUACCCGCUGAACUUAAGCAUAUCAAUAAGCGGAGGA